AAACACUGAACUUUGUCCAGAUAGACAAAAUCCAGGGAAAAUUACUGAAUUAUUAUUAUUGGUAUUUAUAUAGCUCUAAUGUAUUCUGCAGCGCUUUACAAGAUUACAUACUAUACAAAGGGAGAAAUGUAACAAUAAAUGAGACCAAUACAAAAUAUUACAGAAACCAUGGAUUAGCAAUACUCACUUGCUAAAGCCAAAUCCAGUUGAAAUGAGGUCCUCUCAGCCUAAUUCAAAUGGAUGCAUUCCGUUUCUUUUUUCAAAUCAGUGCUUUUUGCAUCUGAAUUCUAAAGUAUAGAGUCUGGAAAAUUUACAAACUGUGUGUAAUACUUGCAAGCGUUAUACCAGCAAGCAGGCAAAU